rnacentral:snoRNA from 1 species
AUCGGGGAAGAGGCAGAGGUGGCAGUGCCGACGAUGAAGCUUCUCUGCGAGCUCGGGGACACACCAUGUCGAUAGGUCCCCUUAGGAGUGAGGCGAAAGCCUUACGAUGAGUAUGGGGCAACCCGGACAUGGGACAGCCCCCAGAGGUCAGCCACUCUGAGAGGGCAAAGCCUGCGAUGAGGGGUGGUGUUACUCUGGGGGCAG